GACGAACGCUGGCGGCGUGCUUAACACAUGCAAGUCGAACGGAAAGGCCCUGCUUGCGUGGGGUGCUCGAGUGGCGAACGGGUGAGUAACACGUGAGUAACCUGCCCUUGACUUUGGGAUAACUUCAGGAAACUGGGGCUAAUACCGGAUAGGAGCCCCCGCUGCAUGGUGGGGGUUGGAAAGUUUCGGCGGUUGGGGAUGGACUCGCGGCUUAUCAGCUUGUUGGUGGGGUAGUGGCUUACCAAGGCUUUGACGGGUAGCCGGCCUGAGAGGGUGACCGGCCACAUUGGGACUGAGAUACGGCCCAGACUCCUACGGGAGGCAGCAGUGGGGAAUAUUGCACAAUGGGCGGAAGCCUGAUGCAGCAACGCCGCGUGCGGGAUGAAGGCCUUCGGGUUGUAAACCGCUUUCGCCUGUGACGAAGCGUGAGUGACGGUAAUGGGUAAAGAAGCACCGGCUAACUACGUG
rnacentral:rRNA from 1 species